GUCUGACCUCGGAUCAGGUGGGAUUACCCGCUGAACUUAAGCAUAUCAAUAAGCGGAGGAAAAGAAACUAACAAGGAUUCCCCUAGUAACGGCGAGUGAAGCGGGAUGAGCUCAAAUUUGAAAUCUGGUAGUCUUUGGCUGCCCGAGUUGUAAUCUAGAGAAGUGUUUUCUGUGCUGGACUGUGUACAAGUUUCCUGGAUACGGAACAUCAUAGAGGGUGAGAAUCCCGUCCUUGACACAGGCUCCCAGUGCUUUGUGAUGCGCUCUCAACGAGUCGAGUUGUUUG
rnacentral:rRNA from 1 species